rnacentral:lncRNA from 1 species
ACACCUGAUGAGAACGUCAAGAAUUUGGGAGAAAAUGUGACAUUAAUUCUCAUAAUUUGAAAUAGUUUUUCAUAUAUAUAUAGAGUAAUUUUAGAAUAGAUGAUCCUCCUCAAAAGCAGGACGUCAUAGCAGUUUUCUUUGAACCCAUUAGAGUAAGUCCAUCUAUGAUCAAAAAUACUACUUGUACAUCCAAAUCGGGGUGUACAAAUUACAUCUCAUUCAUCGAAUGGAUGAUCCUCCUCAAAUGCAGGACGUCAUAGUAGUUUCCUUUGAACCCAUUAGAGUAAGUCCAUCUAUGAUGGAAAAUACUAUUUGUACAUUCCAAUCGGGGUGUACAAAUUACAUCUCAUUCAUCCAAUGGAUGGGAGUGAACUUUUAGUCACAUCAACUGACUAGUAAAAGCAUCUACCUAUUCCCAUUCAAUGAAUAGGAUGUAGGAUAUAUAUCCCAAUUGGGGUGUAUACAUAGCACUGUUCAUUCAUGAUACAUCCAGUAACUUCAGGCAAAAAUAUUAUAUAUAUAUAUAUAUAUAUAUAUAUAGAGAGAGAGAGAGAGAGAGAGAGAGAGAGAGAGAGAGAGAGAGAGAGCUAGUCUCUUAUACUUUCUAUAGUACUGGGGCUCCGAUAUUAUAGUUCCAUUUUCGAUCUUAGGCUGUUCAAAUUAACGAUCCACACCGUUAAAACUGAUAUAAGGAAUUUAAAAUUUUUAGAACUAAAAUUUUAUAUUUUUUUCGACAUAGUUUAUUUUAUGAUCAAAUGAUUUCAAAUUGUCAAUUUUCAAUGGCUAUUAUGACGAAUUUAGAGUUUAAUGGUGUAGAUGAAUCAAAAUUUCUUCAAAUUUUGAUAGACAAUACUUUAAACUAUCUAUAUUAAGUUUAACAUUCUUGAUUUUGAAUUUAAAAGUCCUAUGCUCAAAUUUUAAAGAGUAUUCAAUUUUCACCAUCCAUAUUUGACAUAAUUUAUUUACUAAGUAAACGAUGUCGAAAAUAAUUAAAAUUUUAUUCUUAAGAACUUCAUAUAUUCUAGAUCAUAUUUAACGGUGUGGAUCGUUAAUUUGAAUACCCUAAGAUCGAAAACAAGACUAUAGUACCGAAGCUUCGGUACUAUAGUUAGUAUAGUAGCCUAAUUAUAUAUAUAUAUAUAUAUAUAUAUAUAUAUAUAUAUAUAUAUAGAGAGAGAGAGAGAGAGAGAGAGAGAGAGAGAGAGAGAGAGUUGAACUAGAAUGCUAACCGUAACAAACGGGCUCCGUUGCCACCCAUUUGUUUUCAAUGAUGGAGCUUCCAAAUCGAUGAUCGGAAUCGUUGAAUAUAAUCUAUACCACGUGAAGUAUCUAGAAAUCAAAUUUCAUGCUCUUUUGAUAUUAUUUUCUUGUCCAUCAAGUGAGCGUAAAAAUGAACGGCUGAAAAUGAAUAUCCUCUAAAAAGUGAUGAUGGAAAUUUUGUAAUCAUGAUCAAAAGUAUAGAUCUUAUUCUAAAUAGUUUAAAAAAAAUUUUAACCAAAAUUCAAUUGAUUUGAAUAACUUUACACCGUUAAAUGAAAAAACGUCUUAUAUCUACCAUUAAAAUUACAAAUUUUAAAACCCUUUGAUCAUUAGGUCAAUGAUGUCGAAAUGAUUUGAAAUUUGAAUUCUACAUACUUUAAGAGGUAUAGAUCAUGUUCAAGGCUGCUAAUCGUCAAUUUAAAAGCUCCAUCAUCGAAAACAAAUGGGUGACAACGGAACUAGUUUGCUACCGAUAGCAUCCAGCUCAACUAUAUAGCAUAAUUUUUUGUGAUUUGGUCGCUUGUGUUG